rnacentral:rRNA from 2 species
UGACCUCGGAUCAGGUAGGGAUACCCGCUGAACUUAAGCAUAUCAAUAAGCGGAGGAAGA